AUCUCUCAUUGGUGGAAUACUAUAUUUAUUGGAGCACGGACCUUCGACGAUGCACCUUGCUAUCAUAGCCCAUUUCAUUUUCGGAUCAGACUCGGGUUCACUACUGGCCCAAUCCGAACUUGAGCCCGACUGCAGCCCGACUAUAAAGUACAAUUCUUCCAUUCUUUAUUUUUCUGGAGGAGGCGCAUCGUCAAAUUUGCUUCGCGCAAUAAAUCUUCG
rnacentral:lncRNA from 1 species